AUGGAACAGCCCGUCCUCACCCGAGCCCGUGUCUUCCAGAAUGACCCCAACAUCGAGAAGAACUGGAUCCUGCGAGCAAAGCAGCGGUCACCGUUUCCUACUUCUAUGACGUCACAAGGAACCGCUAUCGGAUCGUCAGCAAGGACGGAGCCAAGGUGACCAUCAACAGCACAAUCCCACCAAAUACGACCUUCGCCAAAACGCCGAAGUCUGGGCAGGGGGCCGACAGCAGAGCCCACAUGGUGUUUGCUUUGGGGUUUUCCUCUGAGCAGCAGCUGACAACGUUUGCAGAGAAAUUCCAGGAGCUGAAAGAAGCUGCGGAGAUGCCCAAAGACAAGGCCCGGGAGAACACCGAGAGCUGGAGUCAUGGUUCGCAAUGCUCUGGGCGUGAAGCCCCAUCUUCUGCUCCGGCCUCCAGUGUCAAGGUCAGUGAUGAAAAGGCCUCUCAGCCGCCGCAGCCGACACGCACCGGAAGUCUGAGAAGGGCCCACCGGAAGUCUGAGAAGGGUGCGCAGAGACCGCCGGGACGCAGAGCGCGUGGCCACCGAGCCGAAGCGGGAGCUGCAGCUGCAGCCUUGAGGAGAGCCAACGCCCCGCGGACCACGGACGGGACACCCACAGAGAGGAGAAGAACAAGCAACUCAAGAGAAGGGUGGAGGAGCUGGAGGCGGAGCUCCCAGAACAGGAGAGGAUCUGAAAGGUCUCCUAAAACGAAGUGA